rnacentral:rRNA from 1 species
GUCUACGGCCAUACCACCCUGAACGCGCCCGAUCUCCUCUGAUCUCGGAAGCUAAGCAGGGUCGGGCCUGGUUAGUACUUGGAUGGGAGAAGCCUAAGUAGCCACU